CUUCUCCCUCUUUGUUCUUUUGCUUUUCGCCUCUGUUUCUGGCCCAUCCUUACUCUCCCUCUCAGGUCCUUCACCCCCCUCUUCCUCUGCACUCUCCUCGCCUCUUCUCCCUUUCCGCUGCAUCUCUUCUCCCGAUUGCUGGCUCCAUCGCCACCUCUCUUAGCUUCUCACCCUCAGCUAGCUCUCCGCCCCGACUCCUUCCCCAGCGUCGCAGCACCGCAGCCUCCUCCUCCGUCCACCCCCUUUCUGCUAGCACGUGCCCUUCGGUCUCCUGGGUCGUCCUCCAGCUGCAAACACCAAGAUAAUGCUGUUAACUUCCAGAGGCUUGUGAGAAAAUGAGACAACGCAGAAAGAUGACUUAAAUAAAAUGACAACUUUCCACAUAGUAAGCUUUCAUUUAACGGAAUUUAACUUACUAGUUUUCUUUAGCCAGCGAUUUCUGGCAUAACAACUUUCGUGGGAUUCCCCAACUCAGUAAUUUCUUGACUCCCUUGGUAGUCUUGUUUCGUUAAUUGUAAGCUGACUCAAAAAGCUAUUUUGGGAGCUGCAGGUAUAGGUCAGUGGUAGAACAGUUACCCAGCAUGCACAGGGUCCCAAGUUCAAUCCCCAGCGCCACACACACACACAAAAAAUUGUUUUGAGGCAGUG
rnacentral:lncRNA from 1 species